GACGAACGCUGGCGGCGUGCUUAACACAUGCAAGUCGAGCGGUAAGGCCCCUUCGGGGGUACACGAGCGGCGAACGGGUGAGUAACACGUGAGCAAUCUGCCCAUCACUUCGGGAUAACUCCGGGAAACCGAAGCUAAUACCGAAUACGACCACCUCCGGCAUCGGAUGGUGGUGGAAAGUUCCGGCGGUGAUGGAUGAGCUCGCGGCCUAUCAGCUUGUUGGUGGGGUAACGGCCUACCAAGGCUUCGACGGGUAGCCGGCCUGAGAGGGUGACCGGCCACACUGGGACUGAGACACGGCCCAGACUCCUACGGGAGGCAGCAGUGGGGAAUAUUGGACAAUGGGCGAAAGCCUGAUCCAGCAACGCCGCGUGAGGGAUGACGGCCUUCGGGUUGUAAACCUCUUUCAGCAGGGACGAAGCGCAAGUGACGGUACCUGCAGAAGAAGUACCGGCCAACUACGUGCCAGCAGCCGCGGUAAGAC
rnacentral:rRNA from 1 species